rnacentral:rRNA from 1 species
GGGGAAUCUUCCGCAAUGGACGAAAGUCUGACCGAGCAACGCCGCGUGAGUGAUGACGGCCUUCGGGUUGUAAAGCUCUGUUAAUCGGGACGAAAGGCCUUCUUGCGAAUAGUUAGAAGGAUUGACGGUACCGGAAUAGAAAGCCACGGCUAACUACGUGCCAGCAGCCGCGGUAAUACGUAGGUGGCAAGCGUUGUCCGGAAUUAUUGGGCGUAAAGCGCGCGCAGGCGGAUUGGUCAGUCUGUCUUAAAAGUUCGGGGCUUAACCCCGUGAUGGGAUGGAAACUGCCAAUCUAGAGUAUCGGAGAGGAAAGUGGAAUUCCUAGUGUAGCGGUGAAAUGCGUAGAUAUUAGGAAGAACACCAGUGGCGAAGGCGACUUUCUGGACGAAAACUGACGCUGAGGCGCGAAAGCCAGGGGAGCGAACGGGAUUAGAUACCCCGGUAGUCCUGGCCGUAAACGAUGGGUACUAGGUGUAGGAGGUAUCGACCCCUUCUGUGCCGGAGUUAACGCAAUAAGUACCCCGCCUGGGGAGUACGACCGCAAGGUUG